AGGCGGCAGUUGGUCGAGCGGGCGGCGGUUCUGCGGGUCUCCCCAGCUGCGCCGGCCGUGCUCCCACCCGCCAGCGGCGGCGGCUGCGGCGGCGGCCGCGGAGCUUCGUGCCCAGCAUGGCGGCGGCGGGCGCGGGCCCCAAGGUGGUCCGCGGGCAGGUGCUCGACGUGGGCCGCCCUCCAGCAACCUGCUCCCAUGGCGUGGUGUGCUGCUGAUGGCAGCCCAGGCCUGCGUCCGGGCCCUGGAAGUUAGGAGCCACUGCUGCCCCUGUGGUCGCAUGAAGCCCUCUCUUCUUCCUGCCUCUGCUCAGAGCCUUGCGACCUGGCCCUAGCCCAGCCUGGCCCCACUCGCUGCCAGACCCUGGAAUGUCAAGGCCUGGCCCAUGCCUGCAUGCCCAGCCCGUGGAACCCCGGUGGCCCUGCCAGCCAGGAUGAGGGGCCAGGCCACUGCUCUGGACGCUCUAUGGAUUUUUGAUCCGCUGCUUUUGUUGCUGCUGGGGUGCCAUCCAUGUGUGGUCUCGGGGUCGGACGUGGGUCCUGGGGCUGGGCCGUGCCCCAAGCUGGUGCAGGGAAAGUUCUUCGGUUACUUCUUGGUGGCCACUGAGUUCCCUGCUAACGCCUUGUGCUGCUCCUGGACCCUGUGCAACCUGGACCCACGCCGCUACAAGCUCUACAUGAAGUUGCCAGGGUGCCUGCCUGCAGCAGCCCCGCCUGCGUCUGCAUCUACCAGUUGGAAUCCUUGGAGUCCAUGCCUAGCUACCUGGGACUGGAGAGCUGUGAUGAGGUGCUGAGGCCCUACGACUCCUCAGGGUCCCCUGGCCUUCCUGCAGAUGAAGGGACAGCAGCUGCCGCCGGACGAUGACCCUGGCCCCAGGGUGGGGCCCUCCCACCCCAGCGACAGCUCCAUGAAUCACCUGGUCAUGGGCAACCAUAACCCCAGUUACUUGGCUGGUGGCCCUGAGAACUGCCUCACCUGCCUGACCCAGGAUGGGGCGGGGAUACGCUCUAGAAGAUGCCAAACUUCGCUGGGGAGAAGAUUCUGGUCUAUUUCCAGUCUGUCUCUCUGAGGAUACACCCCAUGUGGAAACGCUAAUGAGGAUGAACACGACACUGUUUAAUUAUAGCCCAGCAAGUCAUUUAUAAUUACCUCUUCAUCUAAUGCUUCUGGGGAGGAAGGAGUGAACUAUGUUCCCUUUAGAGGUAUGGGACCUUUAAGUCAUACCUCCAGGAAUUCCGGAAGGACUAAGCCGUUACGGUGCUAGUAGGUGUUUAGGACUAUUGUUCUGGAACAACCAGCCGAACAACAGACCGACCACCCAACAAAACCUGUGAAUGAAGCAAGACAGAGGUCCAAAGUUACUGAGGCCAGCACAUUCCCCCCGCCCCCAUCCACUUCAGUGGCGGUCUAUGAUGCGUUUGCGGUGGAGUGAGAAUUUCUGUCACAAUCUGCACUCUCUUGCUGGGAUCCCAGGCACAUGUGGUCAUUUAUGUUGUAUACUUACCCAGGAGUGGAAUUGCUGGGACAAAGUGUUGAAUCAUUAAUACGUGACCUCUGCCACUGUCAGGACACUUACUGAAGGAAGAGUUUUGAAGUUUCCAGCAGUUAAGUUUUCCAUUUCUCUUUUUCAGUUUUUAGAUUUUUGCUUUUCUUAAAGCUGUUUUUAGAUACAUAAUAUUUUAGAAUUUUUAUGUUUUCUUGAUAAAUUGACCCUUUUAUCAAUAUGUAAUGUCUCUUUUUAUUCCUGGUAAUUUUCUUUGCUCUGAAGUAUAACUUGUCUGAUCAUAAUAUAGCCACUCAGUUUUCUUUUGGUUAAUGUAUGCAUAGUACACCUCUACCCAUUCUGUAACUUUUAACCUAGGUGUGUCACUGUACGUGAAGUGAGUUUCUUGCAUGUAGUCCUUCUGACAGUCUGUCUUUCCAUUCAUUUCAUGACUUUUUAAAGAACUUUUAUAAUAGUUGAUUUAAAAUUUUUCAAAUAUUGUCAAUAUCUAUAUCCUUUCAGUGUUGGUGUCAAUUGUCUUUAACAUGAGUUGAGAUUUUCUUGAUUAUUUUUAUGAUCAGUAAUUUUGGAUUGUAUCAUGCACAUUUUGAAUAUUAUGUUAUGAGACUCUGUGCUUUAUUAAAUCCUAUAGAACAUGGUUGUUUCUUCUGUGGAUUGUGGGCUUAAUGUCAGCUCUGUUUUUAAAGCUUUUAAUUUAAAUUUGUCUUAUAUGUGUGCCACUCAUUGGAUAGCCUGGGGCCUGUGUGCUGGUCUGUUGCUUCGGGAAGUUCUCAUACUAUUUGGUAUGCUGUUUAAUAUCAGAUCCAUACACCAUAAGUGCUAGAGUGACCCCAGAAGUUUAUCAGCAACCUUAUGGGGUCACUUUCCUAAGGUCCUCUCUCUCCACUUUCUCUCUGGUGUUUUCCAGUUUCCUGAGGCUCCCUCUUUUAGUCUUCUAGCCAAAAAGCUGAGAUCUUAGAUUUAAUGGAAAAGAAAAUAUGAAAACAAAUAUAUGUAUGUGUAUGUAUGACUGAGACACUGUGCUGUACACCAGAAACUGACACAUUGCAAUUGACUAUAUGUCAGUUAAAAAAAUAAUUUUAUUAAUAAUAUUAAUAUUCACCUCUUCGGUUCCCCCCUCCUUUCUUGCUCUCUCUCCUUCAUCUUUAGAGGAACCAGAAAGCCCCCCCCUCCCGUGUGAUGUGCACAGAAGUUCCAGCCACAUGAAGAUGCCUUGGAAUAUCAGCUUCUAUUAGCAAGUGUGUGUUUGUGUCCAUGCGUGUGUGUGUGUGUGUGUGUGUGUUGUAGAAAAUGCAGUUUUCUUUCUAAGAAUAUGGUGACAUAUCUUAAUUUAAUAGUACUUUAAGAGCAUCUUCAAUCUAUCUACUUGUUUCCUAUAGUAUCUGUAUUCCCAGAUACCAUACUAUCUUUGUAACGGGUUGGCCAUGACCUUCUGCCCAUGGUCCCCUACUGACCAAGAAAGAACUGUAAACAGUUCAUCCCAUAAGUGGAGCAACCCAGCUGCCCUGGUGGGCACAGCUGGACGGGCAGGAGUCCUUGCUGAUGGCUCUAAACUUUCCCAUUGCUUGUUCAGAUCAGCACCUUGGGAAGCUUCAACAGCAGACUCUAGAAGACAGCUGGGGGAACAAGAGAUAAACAAAGAGAUCGUAAGCAGCCAUGAUGUAACAGAAGCCAUGAAAAACAGCAGCCCCAGGUGAUGAAAUCAGUUCGUGUGGACGAACCAGCAGGUGGCUACAUGCUAGCACAGAAGGGCACAGAGCAGCCAUGACUGACCACUGGGAAAAAAGACAAGCAGAGAGCCAGGCUGGUAUAUUUAGUCCACUCAGGACUGUUUACUCAUGAUCUUGUCUCAAGAUGCCACGAGAGAUGGAUUUCACAUAAAUCUCUAGUCCAGCUCUGCUUCAUAGGACAUAGCAGUCAUAGGCUGCAUUACUGCUGUCACGCCACAUGACAUUAAAUUACCGCUGGAAGCUAGCCAGCUAGGCAGACGCUGGAGUCUGGAUGAAACACCAAGUGCCAUCAUAGCCCACUUAAAAGUAUGCCAUUCAGACCAGACUGCAAGCCAUCUGAGGUUAGAGCCCAUGCCUGUUUUCGUCAUUGUUCUUGGCACUUGAGAGAAGGGCAUCUCACCUGAAUGUUAUACCAUGAAGAAAGGCUUUCCAUCUGACAAAGAUUCAAACAAUGGCAAAUGUCUAAACUCACAAAACUCUAAGAUAAGAGAAAUUAAGGUAAAAUCUGCAGAGGUGUCCACAUCUUGUGAAGCAGCACUUCCUGCAUCCCUUCUGCCCACUCCUGGAGGAAUGGGUGGGACCAUGAAUGGCAAGAAGACUGGAGAAGAAGAAACCCAACAAAGGAGAGUGGUAGAUGGAUUCAAGAGAUAUUUAAGAGUUAUAUUUCAGAAUCGUAUUAAAGAUAGGAUCUCGACGGUGAGGGAAUGAAUGAAUCAAUGAAGGCAUUGAGAGUUCUGCUGUGAAUAAGUGGGUAGAUGGCGACACCGUUUACCUAAAGAAAUGACCCUGGGAGGAGGCAAGGUUUUCAGGGGUAGAUGACACAACUGGGUUGGAUUUUUGAGUUUGAAGUGGAACAGUUAGGUAUGUGGCUCUGGCUCUCAGAAGCCUCCACUGAAGACUCAGAUUUGUGAUUCAUUAUCAUAUAGACGAGGGCUUCUCAGCCUUGGCACUAUUGCCUUUGGGACCAGAUAACUAUUUGAUGUGCGGGCCAUCCUGUGCACAGGAGGGCAUUCAGGAACAUCACCUGCCUCUACCCACUAGAUGCUAGUAGCACCUCGCCCAAGUUACUACAACUUACUAUGCUUCUAGAUACUGGCACAUGUCCCGUGGGGGACAAAACUGCUCCAGCUGAGAACCAUUGAUGGAGAUGGUACCCAAUCCAUAGGCAUGGAUGAGCACAGAAAGUGAGGAAAGGAGGUCUCAGGAUAGAACACCGAAAGACACCAAUUUAGGGACCAAAAAGGGAGAGAAAAUCCCAUGAGGGAGAGAUUGAGAAGACAUCAGAGAAGUGUGGGAAAAAUACAGAAGCCAAGGAAAAAAAUAUUUCAAUAAGAAAAAUGUGAUUCCUCAGGGCAAAUGUGGCCAGGAGGUUAAUCCAAACGAAGCCUAAAAAGCAGCCCUCUGUUUAGCGGCAAGAAGGCUACUGACAAUCCUCCCUGGAAAUGACUUUAGUGGAGCAGGAGACAAAAACUGGAGGGCAGUGGAGUGAGAAGUAAAUGAAUUUAUAUUGUAUUGUAUUAUUUCCUCUGGCCAGACAUGGCAGCCUAGGCAAGGGACUACGGACAGUUAAAAAGGCCUUGGCUUGGGGUUUUUAAGAGAGGUCAAGGGAUGGUUCAGUGCUAAACGGAAGCUGAUGCCAUUGGCAAGAGACUGGUUGAAGUGGAGACCCAUGAAAUAUAAAGUAGAUGGUGAAAGAAAUGAGUACAAGAGAGAGCUGAGGGGUACAGACAGAGACCUUGGAUUCGAGGGCUCUGUGAGCAUAAGGAGUAGGUAAAGUGCGAAUCACUGAGGGGAAAAUUUGGAAAGUUCAGCAGUAGAAAAGUCAUCCAAAGUCAACCAAAUUGGCCCUUGGUUUCUUUAUCGCUAAUUCCAGGGGCUUAACCUAGAUGCCACCAACAUCCUUGCAGACUUGUUUUAGUCUUUCUGAACGUUAGGUGAUAGAAACAGGACUCUAGGAAAUUAAAGAUAAUUGUAUCUUUAUGCCUAUGAAAGCUUAUUGAUAUAGAAGUUUUUCAAGAUACAAUUGUUUGAUUUGGGGCCAUGCUGAUUUUGAUGCUAUAAAUUUGAUGCUGUAAGUUAUUUUAUUCCCAAUGAUUAGGUCUAACCAACGUUGAUAGAUUCUUUAAUUUAGAAAGAGGAAACCAUAGGUGUAUGAGAUAAUUUUUGGUGGUUCAAUGACUUUACUUUAAGAAGCAGCAUAAAUUCUUAAGAAAUACAAAGAACACGGGACCUUUGUUUUUGUGGGCUUUCUUCCUUGUUAGCAUACUUUUGUGUGAUUUCCUUCUCUCCCCUAUAAUCUCUUCUAGUAGAUUAACAAUAAAGGCUUAAAUUGUGUGUCUUAUAGGAAAAUGAGAAGGCUAUAAACCAAGGUCAGAAAAUACAGGGGGCAUACACCUGUGUUUUGCCUUCUGACCCUCUAGGCAGACAUCACUAACUGAUUUGAAUACUCCUAUCUCCUAAUUGUGGACAUGCGCUUACUGCCAUGAUUCUUACCUCUGGCUGAGCAUCAGAAUCAUUUGUAGGCUUCAUCCUAGAUUUACUCAGUCAGCAUCUGAUGUACUCUGCCUAAGACUGAUUUUCUACACAUGAUCCAGGCAGACAGAUUGGAAUUGGCAUUUGAGAUGAAAGACACAUUAUCUCAGCUGGAGAAUAACUGACAACUCUCACCCUCCUCCCUACAGUCCCACUUCACAAAGUGGAGAUGCAUUUCACUUAAAAAGUUGUCAAUUCUGUAUUAGAGUAAGACUUAAUCCGUAAAUGAGCUAGAGCAAGACUGGAAGUAAUUCUUGCCAAACCGUCCCCCAUCUAGUUAUUAUCUAGUUAUUAUCUUUAAAUGUAGUAGCAUUAAUAAGCUCAGGGAAUAAUUAUUCCAUUGAGAGUUGAUCAUUGAUUCAUUUAUUCCAAAAACAUUUAUUAAGAGCUCAUAUAGUCUAAAGAUGGCAUGUAUUUCAGAUUGUAAGUGGAGCAGAUGAUAAACCUGUAUAGUGAAGCAAUUAACUAGCUCCAGUGGUCUUGUGUUUGUGCUUUCCCAACAAGGCAAAAAAAUCUUUAAAUAAAAAUUCAAUCAUUAGGGUUUUCCUAAACAAGGGACAUAUUUGAAAAGCAAGAGUCAGAAGUGUGACAAAGUCAGAUCAUCUGAAAUUGUGUCCCAAGAAGACUUUUGUGAGAGAGCCAGGAUCAACAUGGUGGGGUAAGAAGACCCUAAGCUCACUUCCACCUGCAGAGCACCACCACCACCACCACCACCACCGCAACCACAUAUGAACAGACUCUCUGAGAAUGACCUGAAGACUAGGUGAACAGCUCUUCUACAAUUAAGGAUGUAAAGGAAAAAAACACCAAGAUGGGAAAGAAGGGAAGAGGAGCAAUCUAGUCAGGUGGUCCAAAAGAGGGAGGGGUAUCACAAACUCAGAGGUCCUCCUUAAGAAAGAAGACAUCUGAGCCCCACACUGGGCACCCCCACACUGGGCACCCAACACUGGCCAUUGGCACUGGGAAGAUAAGCUUCCCUUAACUAGUUUGAAAGUCAGUGGAGGGCGUGGGUGGUACAGCUCAAGCGGUAGAGCACAUGCUUAGCAUGCACGUUCAAUCCUUGGUACCUCCUCUAAAAAUGAAUAAAUAAAUAACCCUAAUUACCUCCCCGAACCAAAAAAAAAAAAAAAAGAAUUAAAAAAAAAAAGAAAGUCAGUGGGGCUUAUAACCUGGAAAAUCAGAAGACUAUGGGAAACCUGGACUCCACUCUUAAAAGGCUUCUGCACAAACUGACUUGCUCUGAGAUCCACUGCAGAGGCAGAAGGUUGAAAACUGCCUGCUACUCUAGCUGCCUGCCAAGGCCACUCCAGUGUGCCCCUCACUCCCUGCCUGCAUUCAGCUCCAGCUCUAGCACCCACUACCAAAGCAGCAGAUUCUAGUGUGAACCAGAAGCCCUGACCUGUACCAUGUUCCAACUCUAUGCACCCUCAUUAAGGAGAAAGGCUUGAUGCACCCCAGAAAAAACCCCAGUCUGCACUCACUUCAGCUCCCAGCCUCCCGUCAAAGCCACUGGGCACACAGUCUGCACAGGGAUGUAUCCACACAAGGACACACCAUCAAGCUAUCACCUCUAAUUUAAAGACAAAAAAAGAAAGUCAAACAAAAUGAGAAGACCAAAGAGUAUGUUCCAAACAAAAAAACAAGAUAAAAACCCAGGAAAAAAAUCCCUAAUGAAAUGGAGAUAAAUAAUUUACUUGAUAAAGAGUUCAAAGCAAUGGUCUUAAAAUUGCUCACUGAACUUAGGUAAAGAGUAUAAGAAUACAAUGAGAACUUCAACAAAGAAUUAGAGAGUAUAAAAAAGAACCAAUUAGAGUUGAAGAAUACAAUAACUGAAAUGAAAACUACAUUAGAGGGAAUCAACAGCAGAUUAGGUGAUACAGAAGAAUGCAUAAAUGACCUAGAAGACAAAAUAUUGGAAAUCACCCUAUCAGAACAGCAAAAUGAAAAAAGAAUUUAAAAAAUAAAGCUAGUUUAAGGGACCUCUGAGACAACAUCAAGUAUACUAACAUCCCCAUUAUAGGGAUCCCAGAAGGAGAAGAGAGAAAGGAGCAGAGAACCAUGAUGAAACAUUAGUGAAAUGUUUGAUGAAACAAUGGCUAAAAACUCCCUUGGCCUGGGGAAGGAAACAGAUAUCCAAGUCUAAGGACCACAGAGAGUCCCAAACAAGAUGAUUCCAAAGAUACCUACACCAAGACACAUAUAAUUAAAAUGGCAACAAUUAAAGAGAGAAUUUUAAAGUCAACAAGAGAAAAAGUCAUAUUCAAGGGAAAAACUAAGUCUAUCAGCUGAUUUUUCAGUGGAAACUUUGCAGAACAGAAGAUAUAUUUAAAACGUUGAAAGAAAAAAAAAAAAAAAACCACUACACCCAAGGAUACUUUACCUGUCAAGGUUAUCAUUCAGAACUGAAGGAGAGAGAAAGAGUUUCCCAGACAAGCAAAAACUGAGUUUAUCACCAAUAAAUCAGUCUUAAGAAAUGAUAAAGGGGCUUCUUUAAGUGAAAAGAAAAGAGCACAAGUAGAAACAUGAAAUUUAUGAAAUCAAAAAUCUCACUGGUAAAGGCAAAUAUACAGUAAAGAAGCAUACAAUCUUUCAAGACUGGGUCAGGAGGAAAUAGAAAAUUAAAUAAAUCAAUUACUACUAAAGAAUCAUUAAAUUAAAAAACCCAAUAAACAAAAGCCCAGGACAAGACGGCUUCACAGGUGAUUUCUCCCAAACAUUUAAAGAGGAGUUAAUCCCUAUCCUCUAACUAGUCCAAAACAUUGAAGAAGGGGGAACAUCUCCAAACGUGUUCUAUUAGGUCAGCAUUAUACUGAUACCAAACCAAAGACACUGUAAAAAAAUUAUAGGCUAAUAUCCUUAAUAAACAUAGAUGAAAAAAUCUUCAAAACAACAUUAGCAAACCGAAUUCAACAAUACACUAAAAGGACUGUAUACCAUGAUAAAGUGGAAUUUUCUCCAGGAAUGCAAAUAUGGUUCGAUAUUCACAAAUCAAUCAGUAUGAUACAUUAACAAAAUGAAAGAUAUAAAACAAUCAUCUCAAUAGAAACAGAAAGAUCAUUUGAAAAAAUUCAACAUCCAUUCACAACAAGAAUUCUCAACAAAGUGGGUAUAGUGAGAAUGUAUCUCUAGAUAAUAAAGGCUAUUUAUGACAAACCCACAACUAACAUAGUACUCAGUUGUGAAAAGCCGAAAGAUUUUCCUCUAAGAUCAUGAACAAGACAAGGAUGCCCAUUCUCACCAUUUUAUUCAACAUAGUACUAGAAGUCCUAGCCACAACAAUCAGACAAGAAAAAGAAAUCAAAUGAAUCUAAAUUAGAAAGGAAGAAGUAAAACUCUCUCUAUCUGCAGCUGACAUGAUACUAUAAAAGGAAACUCUAAGGAAUCCACCAAAAAAAACCUGUUAGAAAUAAUGAAGGAAUUCAGUAAAGGGGCAGGAUACAGAAUUAAAAUACAGAAAUAUGUUGUAUUCCAUAUACUAAAAAUGAACUUACAGAAAGAGAAAUUUUUUUAAAUCCCAUUUACAAUUGAAUUAAGAAGAAUAAAAUAACCCGGGAUAAAUUUAAUCAAGCAGGUGAGAGAUCUGUACUCUGAAAAUUAUAAGAUAUUGAGAACAGAAAUUGAAGACUACACAAAUAAAUGGACAGAUAUUCCAAGUUCAUGAAUUAGAAGAAUUAGUAUUGUUAAAAUGACCAUAAUACCCAAAGAAAUCCUGAGAGUCAAUGUAAUCCUUACCAGAACUGUAACAAAUAAUCCUAAAAUUUGUGUGGAAACAAAAGAUCCCAAAUAAACCAUACUAUCCAAACCAAUCUAGAGAAAAAAGAACAAAGAUGGAGGUAUCAUGCUCCAAGACUUCAAACUAUACUACAAAGCUGCAAUAAUCAAAACAGUAUUGUACUGGCAUAGAUUAAUGGAACAGAAUAGAGAGCCCAGAGAUAAACGCAAGCACAUAUGAUCAAUUAAUCUGUGACAGAGGAGGUAAGAAUACACAAUGGGGAAAAGAGACGCUCUUCAAUAAACGGCACUGGGAAAACUGGACAGUUACAUCCAAAAAAAUAAAACUGGACUACUUUUUCACACCAUACACAAAAAUAAACUCUAAAUGGAUUGAAGACUUAAAUAUAAGCCUGAAAUCAUAACCGCCCCCCACAGAAUAAAAUACAGGUACUACACUCUUUAAAAUCAAUCCUACCUAGCAAUAUUCUUUUAUACCUGUCUCCUAGGGCAAGGGCAACAAAAGCAAAAAUAAAUAAAUGGAACCACAUUAAAAAUACAUUUAGACAUACAUAUUAGACAUACGGAUAAAUGGAACAGAAUAGAGAGCCCAGAUGUAAACCCACAAACUUUUGGUCAAUUAAUCUUCGACAAAGGAGGCAAGAACAUACAGUGGAGUAAAGACAGUCUCUUCAGCAAACGGUGUUGGGAAAACUGGACAGCUGCAUGUAAAUCAAUGAAGUUAGAACACUCCCUCACAGCAUACAUAGAAAUAAAUUCAAAAUGGCUUCAAGACUUAAGACACAACACACCUCUUAGACGAAAACAUAGGCCAAACAGUAUCUGACAUACACCUCAGCCAUGCUCUCCUAGGGCAGUCUACCCAAGCAACAGGAAAAAAAAGCACAAACACACACACAAACGGGACCAAACUGAAUUCAUCAGCUUCUCUACAGCAAAGGAAACCAAAAACAAAACAAAACAACAACCUCCGAAAUGGGAGAAAAUAUUUGACAAGGGGUCAAUUUCCAAAAUACAGAAACAGCUCAUACAACUGAAUAACCAAAAAACCCAAGCCAAAAACGGGCAGAAGACCUCAAGAAGCAAUUCUCCAAUGAAGACAUACAAGUGACCAAUAACAGACACAUGGCAAAAGGCUCAAUGUUGCUAAUUGCCAAAGAAAUACAAGUCAAAACUACAAUGAGGUGUCAUCUCACCCCAGUCAGAAUGGCCAGCAUUCCAAAGUCCACAAAGGAGCAACGCUACAGAGGCUGUGGAGAAAAGUGAACCCUCCUACACUGUCGGCGGGAAGGUCGUUUGGUGCAGCCACUGUGGAAAACAGGACGGAGAGGCCUCAAAAGAAGAAAAACACACUGGUCAAAAGCUUUUGACCUCGGGGGCAAGCUAGCAAGCCCCCAGAGGCCCGGCCCCGCCUCUGCUUCUGCCCCAGGUCGCCCGUGCCCCACAGGGGCCGGGGCGGCCGCCGCUCCCCGCGCGGGUCCGCCCGCGCGGGAAGGCCACGGCCUGAGGGCCAGUCUCACGCGCUGCGGGGCCGGCCAGCGCCCUCCCGUCUCCCGGGGCUGCUCCCACUUUCCCAAGCCCGCGUAUGAGCGGCAGCUGAGAAAGCCGCGGGGUUCAGUGAAUACUAAUGG